GUAAGCGCGCGUAGGCGGUCUGAUAAGCCGGUUGUGAAAGCCCCGGGCUCAACCUGGGAACGGCAUCCGGAACUGUCAGGCUAGAGUGCAGGAGAGGAAGGUAGAAUUCCCGGUGUAGCGGUGAAAUGCGUAGAGAUCGGGAGGAAUACCAGUGGCGAAGGCGGCCUUCUGGACUGACACUGACGCUGAGGUGCGAAAGCGUGGGUAGCAAACAGGAUUAGAUACCCUGGUAGUCCACGCCGUAAACGAUGUCGACUAGCCGUUGGGGUCCUUGAGACCUUUGUGGCGCAGUUAACGCGAUAAGUCGACCGCCUGGGGAGUACGGCCGCAAGGUUAAAACUCAAAUGAAUUGACGGGGGCCCGCACAAGCGGUGGAGCAUGUGGUUUAAUUCGAUGCAACGCGAAGAACCUUACCUACCCUUGACAUCGAGAGAACUUGGCAGAGAUGCCUUGGUGCCUUCGGGAACUCUCAGACAGGUGCUGCAUGGCUGUCGUCAGCUCGUGUUGUGAAAUGUUGGGUUAAGUCCCGUAACGAGCGCAACCCUUGUCCUUAUUUGCCAGCGCGUAAUGGCGGGAACUCUAAGGAGACUGCCGGUGACAAACCGGAGGAAGGUGGGGACGACGUCAAGUCAUCAUGGCCCUUACGGGUAGGGCUACACACGUGCUACAAUGGACGGUACAAAGGGUUGCAAAGCC
rnacentral:rRNA from 1 species